UACGGAGGAUGCAAGCGUUAUCCGGAAUGAUUGGGCGUAAAGGGUCCGCAGGUGGCAGUGUAAGUCUGCUGUCAAAGAAUGAGGCUUAACCUUAUCAAGGCAGUGGAAACUACACAGCUAGAGUACGGUCGGGGUAGAAGGAAUUCCUGGUGUAGCGGUGAAAUGCGCAGAUAUCAGGAAGAACACCAAUGGCGAAGGCAGCUCUCUGGGACGGUACUGACGCUGAUGCGCGAAAGCGUGGGGAGCAAACGGG
rnacentral:rRNA from 1 species